rnacentral:lncRNA from 1 species
CCUACUCAUAUCUACUUGUAUUCACCCCUGUACAAGCGCUUCGGUGCAAGAUAAUACAAUCUCUCCCUCUCUCCCGCUGGACGUAGGGCCUUCUUUGCCUGAACUAGGAUAUAUCGCUUGUGUUCUUCUUACAUCACCAUCUAGAAGAGGGAGCACACACACAAAUUCACUCAUUGGUGCCCUUGGGGGUGAAACACUGACACAUCUCCUC